AUACCAACAAUGAGCAACCAAGGAACCCACCUCCAGCCAGGUCCGGAGAUGCAGAUCUGAACGCCACUUUACUCUCACUUUUGAAUACCACACCCUCGACAGAUGUUCGACCUCAGACCACUGUUCCACAUACUAUCCAAAAUUCGCUACAAGCGACCGCAGCGCCUCAGACGAAUGCCUUCGACAAUUGUUUCUACUGCUAUUCCGUUUCCGCCGUCAACUACACUUUCCGGUUUUGUCCCGCCUCCCCCACAAACCACUAUUCCCACCCACUCAACCACUUUACCGCAGAGCACCACGAUGGAUCCCCUGGUCGCCACCCUGAUAUAAGCUGUUAUCGGGCUAGUGCAGACUUAGCAACAGAAUUUGUAGUAGAAUCCAG
rnacentral:lncRNA from 1 species